rnacentral:lncRNA from 1 species
GGUGGAAUUAGUUCCUGUGUCCUAAAUGCUCAACUUUCUGUAGGACAUCAUUAGAACUCACACUCCGUCUCUGCUUUUAGAUAUGUGAGACAAUGAGCUGUUUUCAACAAAUGUGAACAAUGGCUGUUUACCAGUUAGCUUCUGUCUUCAUUUGGGUUCCCAGAAACAGAUACUGAGAUGGAGAUCUAUGUACAGGACUUUUAUUGGAUGUGUUUCUGUUUCUCCCCCUGGAAAUAGGCAAGAAGUCCUCCUACUCAAUACAUGUCACUAGUUGGAGCAGUGGGUCAUGGCCAGAAGUGUGUCUUCAGUGGGUUGAAUUGAUUAAUGCAAGUUCCUUGAAGGAGGAAAAAAUCUCUCCACUGAUCAGCUUGUUUUUUCUAAAUCGCAUCCUAUGAAAUCUUUGAAUUCCUGGAGAUGGGGAUUGCCAACCUCUUCUAAUAGAGCAAUUUGGAGAUGUUUUGGAAAAUGGCAAUGAUCACUUCCACAACCAACCUAGUGGUAAAGUGACAUCAGUUUUGUCUAUUAAAAGAUGCUGUGCAUUUGCGGGUUGAACCAUGAAAUUAUGUCUCCCUACAGCUGGAUUUAUUACAAUAGCACAGUGUAUUGAAGCUGGAGAUACCACUUGCUAGGUGUAUGGCCAUGGGAACUCUCAGUCUCAGUCUUUGUAUGUAAUGCAUAUAAUAUAAACAGUAAUACAUGUUAUAUAAAAUUGUAAUGCCCCUCACAACUACCAUGAGAAGGGUUAUCAGAUUUAGCCAAUAACAGAGAACAGGAUACAGUUAAAUUUGAAUUUCAGGAAAUGCUAGAAACUAUUUUUGUAUAACUAUGCCCAAUGCAAUAUUUGGGACAUAAUUAUACUAUGCAAAUUUAUUGUUUAUCUGGCAUUCAACGUCAACUGAAUGUCCUGUAUUUUAAUUUGUAACCCUAGUCAUGAGAGUUAUUUGAGAGAGUUCUCAAAGUAACUCAUGUCAGUUUUCUUUCUUUCUCCUUGAAUGUUAGUAUAUAUUAGCAACAUAGUAUAGUGUUUAUGGGUACAGUCAGUGUAGGCAAACAUCCU